CUGGCGGGGUUCCUUUUGUGCUUCUGCUGCUUGUUCUUCUUGGCUGAUCUUGACAAUUGGACAUAAACUUGGCUGAAUCUCGAUCACAAAGUUGGCCUUCCAAAAUAAUAAACUGAAGUAUGGCUUUAUGUUUGAAAUGAUGAAACUGCUGGAUAUAUUUAUUUUGCUUGAUAUGUGUUUUGUAUUUUAAAUAUAAGGGUUGUACAUUUGAUGUGUGUGUGUGUGUUUAAGGUGUGAGGUUACGUUAAUGUGUUGUUUAUUCACUAUUAAUAAAUAAAGAUUCAAGUUAAAAUUUA